rnacentral:lncRNA from 1 species
GGGUCACUUAUGGGUCCUGUGUGGGUCGGUGUGGGUCCCGUGUGGGUCCCGUGUGGGUGGGUGUGGGGCAGGGGGAUCACUUGUGGGUCACUUGUGGGUGGGUGUGGGUCACUUGUGGGUCACGUGUGUGUGUGUGUGGGGCAGGGGGGUCACUUGUGGGUCUGGUGUGGGGUGCAGGGGUCACUUGUGGGUCCUGGGGCUCACUUGUGGGUCCCGUGUGGGUCCCAUGUGGGUCCCGGGGGUCACUUGUGGGUCCUGGAGGUCACUUGUGGGUGCAGUGUGGGUCACUUGUGGGUCUGGCGUGGGGCACAGGGAUCACAUGUGGGUCCUAGGGGUCAUGUGUGGGUCGAUGUGGGGCAGGGGGAUCACUUGUGGGUCGGUGUGGGGCAGGGGGGUCCCGUGUGGGUCCCGUGUGGGUCAGUGUGGGGCAGAGGGAUCACUUGUGGGUCCCGUGUGGGUCCCAUGUGGGUCCUGGGGGUCACUUGUGGGUCGGUAUGGGGCAGAGGGAUCACGUGUGGGUCACGUGUGGGUCGCUGUGGGUCACGUGUGUGUGUGUGUGGGGCAGAGGGAUCACGUGUGGGUCACUUGUGGGUCACGUGUGGGUCGCUGUGGGUCAGUGUGGGUCCUGUGUGGGUCAGUGUGUGUCGCUGUGGGGCAGGGGGUCACUUGUGGGUCCCGUGUGGGUCCCAUGUGGGUCCUGGGGGUCACUUGUGGGUCGGUGUGGGGCAGAGGGAUCACGUGUGGGUCACUUGUGGGUCACGUGUGGGUCGCUGUGGGUCAGUGUGGGUCCUGUGUGGGUCAGUGUGUGUCGCUGUGGGGCAGGGGGUCACUUGUGGGUCCCGUGUGGGUCCCAUGUGGGUCCUGGGGGUCACUUGUGGGUCGGUAUGGGGCAGAGGGAUCACGUGUGGGUCACUUGUGGGUCACUUGUGGGUCACUUGUGGGCCGGUGUGGGUCCUGGGGAUCACUUGUGGGUCACUUGUGGGUUGCUGUGGGGCAGGGGAUCACUUGUGGGUCGCUGUGGGUCACUUGUGGGUCAGUGUGAGGCAGAGGGAUCACUUGUGGGUCACUUGUGGGUCGGUGUGGGUCCCGUGUGGGUGGGUGUGGGGCAGGGGGUCAUGUGUGGGUCACUUGUGGGUCACGUGUGGGUCGGUGUGGGGCAGGGGGUCACGUGUGGGUCGCUGUGGGGCAGGGGCGCAGGAGGAGGUGGAUUACACGGAGAAGCUCAAGUUCAGCGACGAGGAGGACGGGAGGGACUCGGAGGAGGAGGGGCCCCCGGAGGGGUGAGACCCACACCCUGCCCCACACCCUGCCCCAUAGCGACCCACACCCCGCCCCAUAGCGCCCCACAGCGCCCCACAGACCCCCCCCGGCCCGCCCCAUAGCGCCCCACGGCUCCUCUCUGCGCCGUGAGGGGUCUUAGAGUCCUUGGUGGAGUUACUCUCUGCCCCAUAGCGCCCCAUAACCUGCCCCAUGGCUGCCCCAUAGCCUGCCCCAUAGCUUGCCCUAUAGCACCCCAUAGCCUGCCCCAUAGAGCACCCCAUAGUUCACUGCACAGCACCCCAUAGUGUGCCCCAUAGCCUGCCCCAUAGCACCCCGUAGCUCAACCCACAGACUGCCCCAUAGAGCACCCCAUGGCCUGCCCCAUAGCCUGCCCCAUAGCACCCCAUAGCCUGCCCUAUAGCAUCCCAUAGACCACCCCAUAGCUCACCCCACAGACCACCCCAUAGCCUGCCCCACAGCGCCCCAUAGCACUCUAUAACCACCCCAUAGCCUGCCCCAUAGAUCACCCCAUAGC